rnacentral:lncRNA from 1 species
UCUUAAAUUUACAAAUUACUCGCUAUUUAAAUAUAGUUUUAUAAAUCACAUAUAAAUUAAAAACUAAUUAUAUGUAUUAAAAUAAGAUUAUUUAAAUAAAAUAUCUCGAAAAGAUGAUUCAUUACUUAGCUAAUAGACAGAUUUGAUUAAUCCUGAGAGGAUCCUUUAGAACCUAUUAUUUACAAUAUUUUCUUGUAUCAAUUUUAGUUCACAACAAAUCAAAAAUAAAAACCCCAAGUUGAAACCUCACAUA